rnacentral:rRNA from 1 species
UACGGGGGGGGCAAGCGUUGUUCGGAAUUACUGGGCGUAAAGGGCUCGUAGGCGGUCUGUUGCGUCGGCUGUGAAAACCCGGGGCUCAACCCCGGGCCUGCAGCCGAUACGGGCAGACUAGAGUUCGGCAGGGGAGACUGGAAUUCCUGGUGUAGCGGUGAAAUGCGCAGAUAUCAGGAGGAACACCGGUGGCGAAGGCGGGUCUCUGGGCCGAUACUGACGCUGAGGAGCGAAAGCGUGGGGAGCGAACAGG